GGCUCAUUGGUCAAGCGGCUAAGACACCGGCCUCUCACGCCGGAGACAGGGGUUCGAUUCCCCUAUGAGUCACCA
rnacentral:tRNA from 1 species